rnacentral:lncRNA from 1 species
AUGCAAGAGUGUGUAGAAGCAGGUGUAAAAAUGACUCCAUUGUUGGCUUUUUGUGGACAUGCUCCUAAUGAACUGAAUUCAAGGUCUCCAUUGCUAUACAUACCAGGCACUUUCCUCCCUUUCAGAGAUGGAAUUUACCUCUGUUCAUCCUACGAGAAUCUGUCAAGGCAACAGAACAGGCCACUAACAUGGCAAACGAGCCCGGACCGGCUUCUCACCUCUUGCCCCGACAGGAGCAAUCUGCAGAUUCCUAGGUGUGCAGAGCAGGGCGAGGCCCGAGUCUCACCCGGCUCCCUGGCCCAGCAUCUAGGAUGCAGCAGGGUGAAAGUCAAUAAAUGUCUGAUGAAAUGCAGUGUCCCCUGUUCUCCCACAUGUACUCCUCUAGCGCAAGGUGUUUCCUCAACAGCAGGACUUAAGAUAUUCUCUAGUCCUCACAUCCAGGGAAGGGGCCUUCGGUUAAUUUACAUCACGCUUCCUUUCGGGCUUGAUUUUCACAUAUACAUAAACAUGCAAAUAUUCAAAUCAUUAACAUACUCUCAUUGUAAAAACACAGACAUAAAGAGAAACUCCCCCUUUCCUUGCCUCACUAUUCUAGUCUCCUCCUCAGAGGCAGCACUGUUAAGAGUUUGGUGUGUUUUGACUUUUUCCUGUGUUUAUAUACAUAUAUGCUUGUGUAGAAAUACAUAUUUUGUUUUGUUUUUAUUAAUAUAAACGGGACCUUACUAUUAACCGUUUUGAAGCUUGCUUUCUACACUUAAGAACACUGAACUCUUUCCAUGUCAGUGUACCUUCAUCCUGCUCAUUCUUUUUAACUGUCGCAGACAUUCCCUGAUACAGAUGAGUCAUAGUUUAAACUUUACCUGUUGAUGAACAUUUUUUUUCUAGUUUUCAUCCUAAUUUUUUUUAAAGCCAGGUUUAUUGAGGUAUACUUUAUCUGCACUAAAAUUUACUUUUUAAAAUGUGCAGAUUAAGUUUUAACACAGUCAUGUGACCACCACCACAACCAGGAUUUCCACUAUGCCAGAAAGUUCCCUUGUGUUUCUUUUCGGUCAACCCUUCCAUGAACCCUCAGCCCCAGCAAACAUGGGUCUGUGUUUUUAUCCCUAUAGUUUUGCUGUUUCCGGAAUGUCAUAUAAAUGGAAGGAUACAGCACGUAGGCCUGAGUCUGGCCUGUUUCGCGUGGCACAAUACAUUAGAGAUCCUUGGUUGUCUUUAUCACUAGAUACUUUGUUUUCAUCGCUGAGAAGUAUUCCAAUGCAUGACUACACCAGUUUGUUUUAUCAAGUCACAAGUUGGUAGACAUUUGGGUGUUUUCCAGUUUUUGGCAAUUUAGAUUAAAGCUGCUGUGAACAUUUGUGUACACGGUUUUGUGUGCACAUAUUAUUCUCAUUUCCUCUGGGUAAAUACCUAGGAGUGGGAUUGCUGGGUUGUACAGUGGUAUGUUUAACUUCACAAAAAAAUGCCAAACUGGUUUUCAAUGUACCUGUCUAAUUUUGCAUUCCCAUGAGUGAUGUGUGAGCGUUUGGUUGCUCUGCAUGCUCAUCAGUGGUGCUGUCAGGUUUCCAAAAUGUGAGACAUUCUGGAAGCAAUCUAACCUCAUCCUGCUGUGGUUUCACUUGCAUUUCCCUAAUGACCAGUAACAUUGAGCAGCUUUUGAUGUGCUUCUUCGGCCAUCUAUACCUUCUUGGUGAGGCGCAUGUUUACAUUUAUUGCCCAUUUUUAAAUUGAGUUGUUUUGCUAUUACUGAAUUUUGAGAGAUCGUCAUACAGUCUAGAUACAAGUCCUUUAUAUGUGUUUUAUAAAUAUUUUCUUCUCUGUAGAAUUCUUAAAGCUCCCUUUCAACAUCAUUGAUGACAGAUUACUUAUUUCUGAAGUGCUAUCAGUGGUUUCAUGCUGUACUGGUGUCUCUUUGGAGACCCACAUUUGAACACGUGGCUGAGUGAAUGCUCACUCAGGUCUCAGCUGUGUCCUUGCGGUGGGGAGGAGGUCACUGGUGGUCUGGAGGGGAAUCAGGCAGUAGGCUAGCUUAAGGAAGGGACUCAUUUGAGAACUGAUUUGGCAGCUUACCAUUGAAUCAUACGUGACUUUUCCAAAGCCUGUAUUUUCUAUUUCCACUGAAUUAACAAAGAUUCCUUAACAGUGUAUCGAACACUUUUGACACAGCUCUAUUCAUUCCUUUCCUAUCCUACAUUCACUCCUCAUGGGAUGAAUACACUAGGCUGAGCCUGCUCUGGGAAACUCAGCUGCUCCAGAUCUCUUAUUUUAUUAUUUUAUUUUAUUUUGGCAAGGAAGAGUGACCUUGAGCUAACAUCUGUUGCCAAUCUUCCUCUUUUUUGCUUGAGGAAGAUUGUCCCUGAGCUGACAUCUGUGCCAGUCUUCCUCUAUUUUGUACGUGGGACACUGCCACAGCACGGCUUGAUGAGCGGUGUGAAGAUCCGCACCCAGGAUCCAAACCCAUGACCCUAGGCCACCAAAGCAGUGUGUGUGAACUUAACCACUAUGCCACUGGGCUGGCCUCUAUUUUAUGUUACUUUUUUUAAAGAUUGGCACCUGAGCUAACAACUGUUGCUAAUCUCUUUUUUUUCCUUUUCUCCCCAAAUCCCCCUAGUACAUAGUUACACAUUCUAACUGUGGGUCCUUCUAGUUGUGGCAUGUGGGACGCUGCCUCAGUAUGGCCUGAUGAGCGGUGCCAUGUCCAUGCCCAGGAUCCAAACCAGUGAAACCCUGGGCCACUGAAGUGGAGCACGUGAACUUACCCACUGGGUCACAGGGCCAGGCCCAUAUUUUUUUUAACUGAAAUAUAUUUGAUAUAUAAUACAGUGUGAAUUUAGGGUAUACAACAUGUUGAUUUGAUAUAUUUAUAUAUUGUGGUAUGAUAGCCAUUGUGGCAAUAGUUAGCACCUCUAUCACAUCACACAAUUAUUUCUUUGUCAUAGUUGGAAUUAAGACCUAGUCUCUUUGGAAGUUUGAUUAUAAUAUUGUUAUAUUUUAUAUAGUUUAUAUAGUUUUAUAUAGUGUUAUAUAGUUGCAAGUCUGUAUCCUUACACAACAUCUCUCUUAUCCCCCAACCUUCUAGCCCCUGGUAACCACCAUUUUACUCUGUUUUUACAAGUUUGACUUUUUCAGAUUCCACAUAUAAGUGAUAUCAUGGAGUAUUUGUCUUUCUCUGACUUAUUCCACUUAGUAUAAUGCCUUCAAGGUCUAUCCACGUUGUUGUAAAUGGCAGGAUUUUGUUCUUUCUCAUGGCUGAAUAAUAUUCCAUUCAUCCAUUGACAGGCACUUAGGUUCUUUCCACAUCUUGGCUAUCGUAAAUAAUGCUGCAAUAAACACAGGAGUGCAUGUAUAUCUUCA